rnacentral:lncRNA from 1 species
CUAUCUGCUUCCCUAUUUUUCGAACCCACCGGCAAGACAGCAACGCUAGGCCAGAAGAGAAACGACGGCAUAGUCAUUGUGUUUGCCGGAGUCUCAAACGCCGCCCUCGCUUACACUCUCAUAAAGGUAUGUCCUUCAUUUUUUGAUUUUUAAUUGCUUCAGUAACUUAUGAACUUGUGCUAUUUUUCUCUUAUGAACUAGAGUGAUAAUUUCAAAUAAUCAUAUGAAGGCUAGCUAAUUAUUUGAACUGGAGUGAUAAAUUUUGAAAUUAUUUGAAAUUUUAAAUCUAUGAAGGCUAGCUAGCAUGUUAGUUUCUGAGAGGUGGUCCAAUGAUCAUAUUCAUUUUUAAGAUUUGAGUUAGUGAAAUCAAAACUGGAGUGAUAAAGGUUAAAGUAUUCAACUGUAGAACACAAAAAAUUAAAACUAAACUAUUCUCAUAUGUGGUUGUAUGUCUUACCUGAAUUAGGAGUAGAAAAUCUUUCUUUCUUCUUGCUUAUUUGUACUUUUCCAGAAAGUUUCUUCAUACUCCUUGGCCCUUCGGUAGAACUAAUUGCCUGCAACUUGAGUGUAAAAAAGAAUGAAGUUUUCUCAGUGCCUAUUUGAAAUUUUCCAGAUAAUUUUUUAUACUGCUUUUCUUCAUACUGGUUGGCCCUUCGAUUGAAAUAACUGCUAUGUAUAAGCGUAUGAAGGAAUAAAACUGUCGGGGGUUUAGAAAUUGAAAGAAUAAAUUGCUAAGAUAUACGAGUGUAAGAAAUAACUAACCAUGGAUAUGCUAUUGUUUCAUAACUUCUUUUGAUAUUCCUAUUAUAAUACAUCACAUAAUAUAAGUAUCUCCAUUUCACAGAACAUACCUUAAGUAGCGCAUCCAUGCAUUCAAAUGAGCGAGCCUUGAUUGCACAUAUAAGAGGGGACUCCAUAACUAAAAAACUUAAUUUUAGCUGCAAAGUAAGAGCUGCAAAGAAAUAAAUCAAAAUAUAUAUAUAUAUAUAUAUAUAUAUAUGAGCAUUCAAUAGUGCAUUAGUCUCACAAGAUUUUAUCAAUAUGAUCGGAUACAGUAGCAAAAUUGGCAUGCUAAACUAAUCAAACUCUUUUCCACCUCCAAAACUUUUAAUGAUUAAAGAUAGUCUUGAUUUGCACUCUGAGACAAUAGAAACUUUACAGCUUCGACAUUCCUACUGCAUGAAAUAUUCUGCUAUCUCAAAGGUGUAUGUAUUUUGAGUUCCCUAACACCUCAGGAACUCAAUCUGUUCACCUAUCUAUGAUCUAGAUUUGGAUGAGUUGCACUUAUAUUCCAAAUAGCUUGACAUCUCUAAACUAACUUUGUGUACAGGUACUACUGUUUUUCGUCUGGGGAUUUUGUUGUUUCAAGGUUAGUUCAAUAUCAUCCUUUAUUGCAAACUUACUUUGGGGUUUAAGUGUUAAAAUGUCCUGAUCUAAGCUUGAUUCUGGUCUGCAGAUGCCUAAUGUUUGACAAGUCUGCUCUUAUAAAAGAUUAUAUGUUUGACAAAUUUA